rnacentral:rRNA from 1 species
UACGUAGGCAGCAAGCGUUGUUCGGAAUUACUGGGCGUAAAGAGUGUGUAGGUGGUGUCGUAAGUUUGGUGUGAAAUCUCCCGGCUUAACUGGGAGGGUGCGCCGAGGACUGCGAUGCUGGAGUAUGGGAGAGGAAAGCGGAAUUCCUGGUGUAGCGGUGAAAUGCGUAGAUAUCGAGAGGAACACCUGCGGCGAAGGCGGGUUGCUGGGCUGACACUGACGCUGAUGCGCGAAAGCCAGGGGAGCGAACGGG